AGAAAUCGCGCCACCUGGUCAUUACAUUCAUCUUUCUUCCCCGUUUUACUUCUCCUAGAACUCAGAAUUCACGACUCGAGCUUAAUUACACAUAACUGCUUCUCUCUACUUUAUUCAUUCUUGAUCUUCAUCUUUAGAAAGUAGAAGCUCCCGGAAGAAAUGCUCGGCGAUGGAGGAGAAACUCCUUGCAGAUAUGAAUUAUUAAACAUGGUUAAGAAGCACUCCAACUUAAUAGGACAAACUGUGGUGGAUGAGCAAGAUGUUUCCGAUGUAGAAACGGAUCCUCGUUUUUGGCACGAUGUUAUGGAUUUGUAUUUUAUUCGUGGUAAGGAAUCAAGGGGGCGACAAGACGACGAUCUCGUAUUUUUUGUUAGAAAAGUGAAACCUCAAGGGUAUGGCAAUGAUGAUGAUAAUGGAGGCACCUCGCCAUAUUUUGUUCGCAGGUGGGCAUCUAAGUUGGACAAUUUGGUUGGAGACGCUUCAGUAGAUGUGGAUUGGAGGCGCUCAUUUUAUUUGAACUUGAUUGCUCACACUACGUUUACUGUGACUGUGGCAAUUUGCAGUCAUCUGGUUCUUCGAAAUCAUCAAGCAGGACAUACGACAUCAUUGUCUCCUAUAUAUAAGGUUGUUAAGACUGUUUACGCCUCUCCUAGCCGUGUCAAUUUUCAUUUGGAUUCUAAAAAGGAAGUUGAGACAACACCUGCAUAUCCAGAUAUCUGUUUUGCAGUUGAUGACUUUGACUCCACUUUUGAUGCAGUGGUCUUGACAGAGACUGACCAUUGCUAUUGUGUACUUCUCAAUGCACAUGAUGGUGCAGCUUUUCCCGCAAAGGACAAUGCAGAAAAUUGCGAUUCUAGUAAUUUUGUGGUCUCUAGUAUGGAUUCUGAUUCUCAAAAUACAAAGAAUUCCAAGAUUACUCUUUUCUCUGGAUUUGUCAGCUACCAAAUGGUUCGAGAUGCAUACGACGCUGGCAAGUCUAGAUUUGGCAGCUUGCUCUCUCUUGGUCAUGCUUCUGGCAAAACAGACAAAAUUUACAUGAAGGGUCCUGGAGGACGUGGGGAAGUUGAAGUUGCUGUUUCUGGUGUUGCAGAUCAAAGCCUGCAGGACUCUGGGCCCUUUUCACCUGUGGUUUCAAAGACAGGAUUUGGGAUUGGCACCAUUGUUAGAAGAGCAGCAUCUGUAGCAACUGUGGCUGCAAGACAAGCUUAUGCAGCUGCUAGUAGCAGUGGUUCUGAUGACGAGAUGAUACCUCUCAAGUGUUGCUUGAUGUCGAUUUCAUUGCCCUGGGAGUACAUCGCACAUGAUCUUUUGUUCAAGGGAAGUCCGCCAGUGAACUUGUGAUUUCCAUCACUGAGACACAAACAGAAGUGGCACUCAUCCUUGAAGGUACCAAAGUUUGAGGAAGGAGUGUGAGGAAGAUCAAUAUGCUUAGUUAACAAGUUUUUUAGAGCUUGUAACCAACACGGAGGCUUGGGUUGUCGUAUCCUUGAAGUGUUACAGUUGGGUUUACAAAAGCAACUUGCAAAGGAGGCAACUGACAGACUUCUCAAAUUCCUGGCGGCAAGGUUUCUAAUUCAUUUAGGUAAGAAUGCAGGGUAAAACACUGGCUUCCAGGUUGUAAUGCCAUGUUAAAUUUUCUUUUCACUGCGUACAGGUAAUAAAAAGGUCAAUUUAGGGGGGGAAAGGUUCAGAAGUUGCAUGUUAGCCUCCAUUAUCGGUAAACCUGGAUCCCCCCUCUUAUCUUAUAUGCUCAAGUCUAAAAACUAAUUGUUAAUUAGGUAAGACAAGAGUAGGGAAUUUGGUGUAAAUUUAUGUAAUGGAAUCUUCUCUGCUUGAGAUUUGAUAAUUGUGCAUGCCAUGUUUUGAACUAUGGGCGAGACUCCGGAUCCGGUGAAACCCCCGACGGUGCUUUUCAGGGUUUGGAGUUGAAAUAAAAGCUGCCCUCUUCGAUUGAAUAAAUGGGAUUAAAUUAACAA